rnacentral:tRNA from 1 species
AGGUGUUGUGCCAGAUAAAUUGGGUUACUUUGAUGAGGUAAAAUAUAAGGAUUCUUCAAUACUUA